GUUAGCUCAGUCGGUAGAGCAUCUGACUGUUAAUCAGAGGGUCGUUGGUUCAAGUCCAAC
rnacentral:tRNA from 1 species